GACGAACGCUGGCGGCGUGCUUAACACAUGCAAGUCGAACGAAGUGGCGAACGGGUGAGUAAUACGUGGGUAACCUGCCCUCCUUUUUGGGAUAAGCCUUGGAAACGGGGUCUAAUACCGAAUAAAGGGGGAUGGGCUCGCGGCCUGUCCGCGUGUUGGUGGGGUGAUGGCCUACCAAGGCGGUGACGGGUAGCCGGCCUGAGAGGGUGACCGGGCACAGUGGGACUGACAGACCGCCCAGACGCGGACGCGGGGGAGCAGUGGGGGCUAUGGAACAAUGGGCGAAAGACUGAUGCAGCGACGCCGCGUGGGGGAUGAAGGUUUUCGGGUUGUAAACCUCGUGAGCAAUAGAACGGGUAGGUGGCGAAGAAGCGCCGGCUAACUACGUGCCAGCAGCCGCGGUAAUUC
rnacentral:rRNA from 1 species